AGUGGAUGGGGAGCAACCUAGUUGUGCGUGUGUAAAGGUAGUGCCAAGAAAAGCGGUGAUCAUGAUGAAAAUCAAUUCCCGGUACCCGAAACCGACACAGGUGGGCAAGUAGAGAAUACUAAGGGGCGCGAGGUAACUCUCUCCAAGGAACUCGGCAAAAUGACCCCGUAACUUAGGGAGAAGGGGUGCCACCGAGAGGUGGUCGCAGUGAAGAGGCCCAGGCGACUGUUUAGCAAAAACAUAGGUCUCUGCAAACUCGAAAGAGGAGGUAUAGGGGCUGACGCCUGCCCAGUGCCGGAAGGUUAAAGAAGUUGGUCAGUCUUAGGAUAAAGCUAGCGACUGAAGCCCCGGUGAACGGCGGCCGUAACUAUAACGGUCCUAAGGUAGCGAAAUUCCUUGUCGGGUAAGUUCCGACCCGCACGAAAGGCGUAACGAUCUGGGCGCUGUCUCGGAGAGAGGCUCGGCGAAAUAGGAUUGUCUGUGAAGAUACGGACUACCUGCAUUUGGACAGAAAGACCCUAUGAAGCUUUACUAUAGCUUGGAAUUGUGUUCGGGCUUCCUGUGCGCAGGAUAGGUGGGAGGCGUAGAAGGUAUUCUUGUGGGGAUACUGGAGCCAACGGUGAGAUACCACUCUCAGGAGGCUAGAAUUCUAACUUAAUUAAGGACAGUUUCAGGUGGGUAGUUUGACUGGGGCGGUCGCCUCCAAAAAGGUAACGGAGGCGUACAAAGGUUCCCUCAGACUGGUUGGAAAUCAGUCGCAGAGUGCAAAGGCAGAAGGGAGCUUGACUGCGAGAAGUACAGUUCGAGCAGGGUGGAAACACGGUCUUAGUGAUCCGACGGUGCUGUGUGGAAGGGCCGUCGCUCAACGGAUAAAAGUUACUCUAGGAUAACAGGCUGAUCUCCCCCAAGAGUUCACAUCGACGGGGAGGUUUGGCACCUCGAUGUCGGCUCAUCGCAACCUGGGGCGGAAGUACGUCCCAAGGGUUGGGCUGUUCGCCCAUUAAAGCGGUACGUGAGCUGGGUUCAGAACGUCGUGAGACAGUUCGGUCCAUAUCCGAUGUAGGCGUGAGAAUAUUGAGAGGAGCCUUCCUUAGUACGAGAGGACCGGGAAGGACGCACCGCUGGUGUACCUGUUAUGAUGCCAAUUGUAAACGCAGGGUAGCCAAGUGCGGAGAGGAUAACCGCUGAAAGCAUCUAAGUGGGAAGCCCACCUCAAGAUGAGUAUUCUGGUGUAAGGUCACGGGAAGACGACCCGUAAAUAGGCACGAGGUGGAAGUGCAGAGAUGUAUGAAGCCGAAGUGUACUAAUAGACCGUCGGCUUGAC
rnacentral:rRNA from 1 species